rnacentral:rRNA from 1 species
UAAUACGUAGGGCGCAAGCGUUGUCCGGAUUUAUUGGGCGUAAAGAGCUCGUAGGCGGUUUGUCGCGUCUUCCGUGAAAACUGGGGGCUUAACUUCCAGCUUGCGGUGGAUACGGGCUGACUGGAGUGCGGCAGGGGAGACUGGAAUUCCUGGUGUAGCGGUGAAAUGCGCAGAUAUCAGGAGGAACACCGGUGGCGAAGGCGGGUCUCUGGGCCGUUACUGACGCUGAGGAGCGAAAGCGUGGGGAGCGAACAGGAUUAGAUACCCUGGUAGUCCACGCUGUAAACGUUGGGCGCUAGGUGUGGGGGACUUUCCACGUUCUCCGUGCCGUAGCUAACGCAUUAAGCGCCCCGCCUGGGGAGUACGGCCGCAAGGCUA